rnacentral:lncRNA from 1 species
CUUUUUCUUUAUUCACGGGUUCCGUCGUUCCCAUUGCUUCUCGAUUAAUGGUUAGGUCUGAAUUCUCCAACGGAGCCCUUAAUGAAAUUUUUUCUUAAGUCAAUUUCUCAGUUUUUAUUGGCUCGGGGCUCUUGAUUUUUUUUUGUUCUAUGAGCGGAUUCAUCUAGUUAGGGAUGAAUCAUUAUUGAUGCUAUAUUACACUGUUUUUUAUGAGAUGACUUACAGACCUUACAUAUUGGAAUCUUAUAUCAUUGAUAUUUUCUUUCUCUCUUUCUCUCAUCCUUCCAUUUAUCCGCAUGCUUUUCGAUUUUCUUUCACAACUUCGAACUUCACAACCUACAAUC